CGAAAGUCGGGAGAGAACGAAAGAGAGAGAGAGAGAGAGAAAGAACGAAAAAUGCUUUUCCGUUGUUGGCGUUUAUGAAUAUAGAUUGAAUUCGCAUACGGCGCCUGCUAGCCGAAUCCCAUCAUGCGCAGUAAGCCGGCGUCCGCGACUCCUGCUAGAGGACACGGCAGCAACAUCCACCCAGCCGCCAAACGAGCAAGUCCUUCCCUUAAUCUAUCCCUUUGGAACCUGAAAUAGCGCCUCAGACAGCGACGAAAUCUAUUCAGAAGAUGCAUUUUGACCUAUGGUUAUCAAGAAAAUGCUCUGAUACAAAAAGAGGGAAACUAAUAUCGGGCAUGAGAGACGGCAGUAAUGUGUCAGGCUUUCAAGUUUUCUUUACAUGUAACUACAAGGUUUAGCAUCAAAGUGCGUCUCUUGUUCCAGCCUUUGGUAAACUGAGAGUCCUGAACUUUUUCUAGCCGUUCGUAAACUACCCUGUAGAUCCGGGCUUUUGUAGACUGCUUAGCAUUCAGAAGCUCGUCUCUACAGGUAUCUUGCGAAUGACGCUGAUUGCAGCUAUGCAGUGCAGAAGACACAUUUUUCAGGCAUUGUCUCUCAUGUGAAUUUUGGAGGAAUAGUUCAGACAUUAGAUAACGUUUGACCCCAGUAUUAAGUGAGUAAAUUUUUAUAAGUAUUGAUCAAAGAAGGAUUUAAUUUUUAUUUAUUUGUUUAUUUAUUUUUUCUGUUUUAUCAUCAUUCCCUGUAGAAGAAACAAGACAUAGUUUUAUAACCAUCCGCUCAUUUUUCUAAUAAUUUGGCGUACUGAAAAUUUUGCAUAUGCAAAUACACGUAAUUUCUAAGAUAUCAUUAACAUAAAUUGUACAAAUUGCAUCACAUGUAUUGUAUAACCAACUGUUCAUUAUUUAGGUUCACUAAUUGUUAGCUUUCGUAUGUGCAUGUACCUAGUUUUUGGGGUAUCAUUAUCAUAAAUUUUAUAAAUUAUAUCACAUGUAUCACUGAUAAUUGUUAAACUACAUCCCAUUUUACAUAUUAUAUCGCACGUUUACUAAUGGUAACGUUGCAGCGAUUGCUAAAACAUCUCUUUUUGAAAUAUUGUCUGCUUACUGAAAGACCUUUAAAGAAAAUAUUUUUGUAAUUUUUUUUAAACAAAAAUAACCAACCUGUGCAGUUAUGGACUCGUGAAACAUAAAUGGAACAACAAGACGUCAAAAGUUGACAAAAACUUUAACAGAGACAUUUGAAAUAUUCGUAACCUAUGAAGGUCAAAAUUAGCACAACCUAAUUGUUUUCCGUUGGUAUGGAUGGUUUUGUGAAAGCUCGUUGAUACUGAUGGUAAGCCUUUGAAAGAAAAGUAACGCUAUUGCUGCUAAAAUUUUAUCAUCUCUUUUUUCUAAUCAUAGCAGAUCGCAUGGUACCAGCAAAAACUCUUUCAAUAAAAUUGUUGCUGAAAAUCAAAAAAGAAAAAGUUUAUAUUUGUUUUGUACUGCAAGCUUUGAUUUCAGAACGCAAGUAAUUUCGAAUUACUUACUGUAUGACACAAUUAUCUGAAGUUACAGAUAAAGGUAGAAAAAAGUCGGACGUUUUUUAAUAACAGUUAGUUGGUAUCCAAAACCAGUAUUUUCUUUAUGGCCCAAAGAUAAAAAGGCUGUUUUUAUGCCUACAAACUGAAGAAAAAUUCUUCUCGGCCAUGGAAAAUCUUGUUUUAGAAAUCUCGAGUAAAGACAGUUCUAGCAAUUUCCUUGUCUACAGGAACUGCAACUAAAAAAUCACCUAAAUUGCAAUUGGAAAACCGAGACUGAACUUCUUGUUUAUAAGCAAGUAACAGAUUUGAGUUUUGAAACCAACUCAGUAAGAUAAGAUUAAAAAAGCUUCUAUCGGAGAACAGCCUUUUGUUGCAUUUACAGGACUACUAUUUCGUCUAAUCGCUUUGGCGAACAUGUUGGAGUCCUGAGUAAGAACAGGGAGUUUACUAAAAACUAUGUCCUAAAAGUGUAGAAGAAAAAACGCAAGUGAGAAGUUAACUAACCUUUAUUCUUCACAGUUUACAGCUGCUCCCGCACUUCGGGAUACAAAGACAAGUACUUGUGGUCUGAAACGUAAAAAAUACGAACUACAAACUAACUAAAUUUAAAUAAAAAAAAUCGCAAUCUAAACUCAAAUGCUUUACAAAGAUUAUGAAAGCGAGAAUUGGCCUUUUAAUCUUUACGUAUGUAGUACGCAGAAAUGUGGGAAAACUUCUAAACAUCCUCAAUAUCAAGAGGACUAAAUCUCUGGCCUUAAAGGAGGACAGCAACUGACUGAAAAGCGCGCGCGAAAUAAGGUAGCGAGAAGUUUCUCUCUCUAACUCCUUUUUGGCUAAAAGCCGCAACUUAAAUACUUAACCUCUUUUAUUCUCGCCGGAAGUGGAAAAUAAGAGAGGACAAUAAAGUUUUGAAAUAAAAUAAACGUUAGUACAAAUCCUUAUAGCAUGAUAUUUUUUUUCCUCACUGUACAGCUGUAGUCAAACAAUUACAGAUUAGUUAAACAAAAGAGAGAUCCUUAAUCCUUAAAUUCUACAGCAACAAGAUUUAUCACCUGUAAAUUAUUGUAGCUUCUAAAUAGAAAUCUCAUCCUAAACAACAAUACUUUAAGAACAUUUAGUAAUUCAGAUACAUGUAAGUUACAAUAUAUUUUUACAAAAACACUCAGUACUUAAAGAAUAUGAUUUAAAGUAAAACUGCCUAAAAUAGCUUUUCUUUGUUCUAUGAAUAUGUUUUCAAUUAUUUUAUUUACAUGAAAUGCAUUAAAAAUUAUUAAUAUAUUAUUAGUAAGUAUUUACAAGCUGUUGUUGAAUAUUGCUAACAGCAUUAAAUUCUAUACCUAUACAUACACACAUAAAAUAAUAAAAAAACUAUCGAUUUCGACGUGUAUAAAUUUCAACUUUUGAAUUGUAUAACAGCUAUAAAAAUUCUAAAAUUUUCACAAAAAUAUAGAACUGAAAAGGAUUUUAAAAUAUGCUAAAAUAUUUUUAAUCGUAAAUAUAACUGAGAACAAACACAUAAAUUUAGGCACAUAUUUACACAUAUCAAUUUUAUUCAUGCACAUAUAUAUUUGUACAAGAUUAUUUGAUACCUGCUUGUGUUCUUAACAAUGUAGUGAUCUGAAAAUGGUAUGAUAUAUUUAGAUGUCUUUCCUUUUAUUAACAUAAUUUAUAAAAAUUUAUCUUCUCAUGAAGUUUAAAGAAGACAUGUUAGAAGUUGAAGAAUAUAGUUUCUGAUGAUUCACAUAACAUGAAUUUUUAUUAUAUUUUUUGAAUCUGAAAAUAAGAUAUAGAACAUUAUCUCUUUCAGAGUGAUUUUUAGCAGAAUGUAUAAUUAAUAAGACGCAUUAAGUCUACUACUGAUUUUUCCUUUAGUUAAAUUUUUAAAUAUUCAACAUAUAAAUGUUUCUAAUCACGGAUAGUGAACAGCUUGUUUCGCACCUUCCUGUCUUUAGCUCUACAGAUUGAACAGAAACCAAAAUACUACAUUGCAUGUUAUAGUUUAAUAUACUCAAAUGCUGUAAGAUGUAAGUAAUGUAUAGAUAUACUCAAGUGCAGUAAGAUAUAAGUAAUGCAGUAAUGUAUAAGAUGCUUAAAUUUCCCAUUUUAAAAUUGUCCUCUUUAGAAAUAAAAUGUAAACUCUGUGUAAUUAUUUUUCUGCAAAAGUAUUAUGCAGACGCACUUUUUCUUUUUUUAGAAUAAGAAAAUGACAAAAUUUCGAUCACUGCUAUUAUUCCUGGUUAAAUUUAUGAGUGUUUUCUGUAUUUUAUUUGUUUCCUUAUAUCUGUAAAGUUUUCUGAACCAUCUGUAAUAAAAAUAAAGAGUUUGACU